CUCACAUGGGUGGGUGCACCAGUGUCUGAGAGCACCCGCAGGGGAGGCCCUCAGGAACUGCAGGCGCUGCUGAGGCCUGAGGUUGGCAUCGAGCCUGGGGCCUGCUGGUAGGGCUUGGAGACUCGCUUUAGCCUCCAGCUGACCCAUGGAGGAAUCCUGGAAUCUGGGCUGGAGGGAUGGGAGCAAAAGUUGUUUAGGCACAGAGAAGGGGAAUGUCUUCUUUCUCCUCUCUGAGCCAGGAGAAGCUGCUCUUCAGGCAAAGGAGAUGGUGCCAUUCCUGGCAGGAACCAAGACUCUCUAUCACUUCCCUGGGCUGUCUCCAUGCCACACCAUUCUCUCUGCUUCCUUCCUGCCAGAAUAUUGGACUCUGCUUUUGGAAACAUCCUGAGUCCUUAUUGAGUGAGGAAGGAGUCCAUUCCAGGGAGAUGGGUGAUGGAAUCUUGUGGAUGAACAGCAGUGAGUGUGGCUAUAUGUGGCUAAGAAGACUGGAAAGCUAGGAAGGGCCAGAUUAUGAAGAAACCUAAAUGCUUGUUGACUGACUGCUUGAUAGUAAGCAAGGGCAGAGAUGCAUCCCUGACUUAGCAACUCUAUUUCACCAACCAAGGAGCAGACUGACGUCACAGCAUAGAGGACUUCAGGACUUUCAUCUCUUUCCUGCUCUCCCCAGCCCCCUUCACUCCUCCAACUAGCUCCUGGCCAUCCUCAGAACUCCCAGCAAGUUCCUUCAGUUGAUUUCCUGGCUUAACUUACCCUACCAUGCUCAUAUAUUGUGUUCAUGAUGGUAUUCAAAAGUUAAUAAAGGAAAUGCUU